UUAUAUACUGGUACGAUAAUAAAUAUAAAUCUAGGAAUAUUUUAAAAAAGGAUAAGAACAGUUUUCUGAUUUUUUUUUUUUAGGGGUAAAAAUACACAAAACAGAAGAUUUCAUUCAGGUGAUUGAAAAGACAGGGAAGUCUUACACUUUAAAAAGUGAAAGUGAAGUUAAUAGCUUGAAAGAGGAGAUAAAAAUGUAUAUGGACCAUGCUAAUGAGGGUCAUCGUAUUUGUUUAGCACUGGAAUCCAUAAUUUCAGAAGAGGAAAGGAAAACUAGGAGUGCUCCCUUUUUCCCAAUAAUCAUAGGAAGAAAACCUGGUAGUACUAGUUCACCUAAGGCCUUAUCACCUCCUCCUUCUGUGGAUUCAAAUUACCCAACAAGAGACAGAGCAUCUUUCAAUAGAAUGGUCAUGCAUAGUGCUGCUUCUCCAACACAGGCACCAAUCCUUAAUCCCUCUAUGGUUACAAAUGAAGGACUUGGUCUUACAACUACAGCUUCUGGAACAGACAUCUCUUCUAAUAGUCUAAAAGAUUGUCUUCCUAAAUCAGCACAACUUUUGAAAUCUGUUUUUGUGAAAAAUGUUGGUUGGGCUACACAGUUAACUAGUGGAGCUGUGUGGGUUCAGUUUAAUGAUGGGUCCCAGUUGGUUGUGCAGGCAGGAGUGUCUUCUAUCAGUUAUACCUCACCAAAUGGUCAAACAACUAGGUAUGGAGAAAAUGAAAAAUUACCAGAAUACAUCAAACAGAAAUUACAGUGUCUGUCUUCCAUCCUUUUGAUGUUUUCUAAUCCGACUCCUAAUUUUCACUGAU
rnacentral:sRNA from 1 species